GGCGGGGGAGGGAUGGAAGUAAUUGUGGGGUGGGUGGUUGGCAAAAAUAGAAGCAGAGAAAUCAGUUUGGGGGUUGUUUCUGUAAUCAGGGCAAAAGAGGAUGGGGGACUCCCGCCAGCUGUGAAGAUGGGGAGAAGUGUUCAUGUUUUGGGUGUUUUGAAUAUCAAGUCAAUAGGAUUUCUGGAAGCUUAGAUAAGAGGUGUGAGAGAAGAAGAGUCAAGAAUGACUCUAAAGUUUUAGUCGUGUGCAAAUCUUGGGACAGAGUUGCACCAGCAGAAAAGGGAAAGAAUAUGGAGCAGCUUUGUGGAGAAAGGCAAGAUUUCAGUUCGGGACCAUGUUGCCCUCAGACCUGUUGUAUGUGCUAAUUCAGCAUAGGAAUUAAGACACAUAGUCUUUGUUGUUGGUGUGAUAAGGUACAUCUUUCACCUCAUACCAGUAGAGACACCAACCUGCCACUACUUUACACUGUGAAUAGCUAAAGAGACGAGGGGAAAAAAAGCAGAAUUGAAUAGAUGCUAUUAUAAUAUAUUUUCUUUAAUUUGCAUCCUCCACAUCAUUUUCUAGGAAAUCGACUGCUGCUUUAGAACUUUCCUUAUUUGUAGACUGAGGAGCUCUUGCUUAAGGUAUUUUUUAAUCUUGUUCUACCAAAGCCCCCAAAACAACAACAAAAAACAAAAUGGAAAAACACAAAACUGGUCCUUUUGUGUAUUGAUGGCGCAAUCAUGCUCCAGGCUUCGGCUUUUAAAUUGCAUACCCAGGACUGACACAUAAAUGGGAAUUAAUUAAUGCGACUACUUUCUUCCAGCAAUUCUAGGGGCUACGGAGGCAGCAGGGAGCGAGCUGGUGACCGAGGGGAGGAAACCCCAGGCUGAGGGCUGCAGGCCAUCAGGAAGCGUGUGGCGCUGCUGCCUGUCUUCCCAAGCUCAUCUCAGGCUGCAUUUCCCAGCUUUCUGGCCCAGGAAGCCUUUCCACGUGAUGCCAUUUAUUCCUUUCCCUUUUGAUUGGUUGGAGAUUAGCAUGGCCAUGUUGGAAACGACAUUUUGAAAAUAAGGGAGUCAAAACUGGAAGAAGUCUGCGUCUCUGAAUUUCUGCUCAAAGGAGACCAUCUGUCAAACAAAAACUCCUAUUCUGCACUUAACAUGAGUGGGAGAAGAAAAACCACAAUAUUUUCUAGAGUUAAGACUUACUGUUUGGUGGUGCAACCAGAUGUGUUGGAGCGGGUUUAUACUGCUGCAUCAGGAGACCGGGUUGUGGGCAUCUCUUCCUCAUUCCGUGAUGUCAGCCUGGUAGCUUGGAAUCACAAUGUUAAUUACAUAGGUACUAUGUCACGAUGAGCACAUUUGAGAAUGUUCCUUUGGAAGAUAACCAGUGGAAUAUAAACAAAAUGUUGGGCUUCAGUUGGAGCAGAGCCUUCCAAAAGACAUGAGGUGACUAGUUACUCCUGAGAGGACUGGAAUUUGCUGGACUGUUGGCCAGAUGAAUAUUUAGGUGAUUGCCUCUGUGUGUCUGUGUACACGCUCAAAUCUUGACUCUAGUUCUGAGGAAAGAGAAGGAAGAUGAAUGUAGGACCACCGACCUCAAUACGGCAGGCGCCAAGGAUUGAAGAGAAGACAUUGCUAUUCGUGAAUUCCUGCGUGGGUGUCUGUGUGGUGGCAGGUGAGGAUGAGGCAAAGAGGAGGACAGCUAACUGCUGACACCAUGGUCCUCCGUUGACGCUAAGGUGCUGAGGGGCCAAAGCCUCUCACAGACUUUUCCUGAUUAUUCCCACACUGCCAUGAUGAAAACCUCUGGCCUGGAUGAGGUUUCAAGCAGUCUCACUCUAAGAUUUGCCAUCUUUGUAGUUUGAAAAUUAAACUGAGCUUCCUGCAACUCAAUCAGUCUCUGCCUCCCUACUAAUGUGUGUGAGUAAAUGUGUGCAUUUUUCAGCAGUUUUUGGAUAUUGGAAAACACCUAUCCACAUAUGAAUGAACAUAUAGUUAACGUUAAAUUUUUAUUAAGUUUGCCACGCAGCCUCUCAGAGUGCAGAAACAUUGUCCUGGGCUUAGAAGAGAAAGCAAGCUCCCUACUCCCUCUGGAAAACCCAGUCAAUGCUGAUCAGACUUAAACUGAAUGAACAUCAGCCUGUCUCCCAACCUCUUGUGUCUGCAGCAGCCACAUUGGUGGCUGCGCUGGGACUCGGGCAGGCGGCUCUGUGUGUGCACUGGCUGGCAGUGCGCAGGAAAGAAGGGGCCGAAAGAAACCAGUUGUCAAGAGACUUACAAAGACUGUGUUCUUCCCAGAACUGUUUCCUGCCCUAGUCAGGUCAGCCUUUGGAGUGAUAUCUGAUUUCUCCUCCUCGGCCAAUAAAUAGGAAGUUCAACCUCCAACCGUGAGGUAGGGGUCAGGAGAAGAGAAGAAAACAGAUACUUUAUAUUCUUUUUAGUUGUGGGUGUUUUAAUUUUAUUUUUCUAAUCCAUAUGCUUGUCUCUGAAUAAACUGUUAUUUCAACUAUUUAAUUUAAGGCCCACAGUGGUGACAACCUGCAGUCAAGCACAACUUUUGAUUUUUUAGGUCCUUAGUAGUUAUCCUUUAUUCUUGAAAUUUCCCUUGAAGCCGUAGCAUAUUUCUGUUCUUUUAGCAUGCUUUUUAGUUUCUUUUCUUACCACUAGUUUACAGUUUGAUUUUUUGUAUCAGACAAUUUCACUUUGAAUCCUUUGAGAUAAGCAUUUUGAAAACUUACCUUUGAGCUGUUCUUCUACCAUAGUUUUUCUUCCACCAUAGUAUUUUUCUUCCAUCAGUCAACAUUAUCUAAUGCAAAGUUAUUUCCAUUAACUUCAGAAGACACAGAAAUAUCUCAGGACAUUUUUCAGAGAGAUUCAUGUAUUACAGCUUGAAACUGGCCUGAGACAGAGCUACCCUUUGUGAAACUCAAAAGGAGGGACAAUUAAGUACAACUCUUCUCUAAAAAGUCCCUAGAUGUGUAAUUAAAAUCAGUACUCAGGAUCAUGUAAAUGAUUUUGCUGGAAUUAUAUAGUGUUAUGUGGGUGAAAAGGAGAAUAAAAAAAUUAUAAUGGGUUAUAGUAAUAUUUUUUUACUUCCUAAUAGUGCCACGAUAAGACUAUUAAAUGAGUCACUCCAAAUUGCAACAAAUCUGAAUUAGGUCAUGCUCAAGUAACAAGUAAUUUUCACUAUCAUACAUCAGUCAAAGUUCUAGGCCCAGUGUUUUUAGAAAAUACUUCUCUUCUUUUUAUUUACGAGGAUGAAGGAUUUAAACUUUAUCCUCUUCAAAAUGACAUAUAAGUAAUUUUAUUUAGGAUUUAAUACAUAAUAAUCAUUCUAAUUACUUAUAAAUGUUAAUUACAGAAUCUGAUUUCUUAAAUUUUGUUGGGCUAAUAUUUCAAGUCAAUAUGCGGAAGUCAGCAAUUACCUGGAUAAUAAUGCAUUCUGGGUAAGAAAACAAAUCUCCAUGUACAACUGAAUUGUAAUAACUACUACCAUAACCAGGUAUGCAUUUAAAACUAACACUUGAUCUAUUUUGUUUUCUGUCCUUCCCAAAAUACACCUUUAAGUGAAGUCCACCCCUGUACCUCGGUAUCAGCUGACCCAUGAGGUCGUGCACAGGUCAUGCACGGACCUACGCUCCAACUCUUCACCCAGCAGUACCCCGACUUCCCAUGUAUCCCAUUCCCCUCCAGUCGUACCUUGGAUACGCCUUUCAUGGUCAGCCCUGCUCAGGACUGUGGUUCUGUUAUUCAUACUUGGUUUCCCCGGCUAUGACUCUGUACUUCUUAAGAACAAUAGUUCAUACCCUCCACUUCCUUUCUGGGCCUUCUGUCCUUAUGGAAUUUCUAACCUAGCUUACAUGUAUCAGACUUUAGUCCCCAAAUGAUGUGUGGCCAGUGCCUCAGUUGAUCCCAUUCAAGCUCUAAUGCAGUUAUAUAUUUAAGAGUGAACUAAAUAACAUUGAUAGUAGUCUUGCCAUAGUAUAUGCAUUUUUAUGUUUAAUUGAAAAACUACUUUUCUGACAUAUUUGUUCAAAACCUAUACUUAUUUUCUUGUAAAAUGCUCUACUUCCUUAUCAAUGAAAUGCUGAUUAAAGUUAUUUGGAAUCUGAAUUAGCUUUUUUCUACAUUUUGACCAAUCCAAAGGAUUUAUUCAAGUUUAUAAUUAUUUGUGAUUAAACAAUAAAUGAUAAUGUUUGUAGAAGCAUUUUAAAUAGUGUAAAGUGUUCUAUAGACGCUUAUGGUUAUCAUUAUACACAGCUGGUUGUCUCAAGCAGAAUCAAUAAAACAUUAAGUUUCAAAAUUUCCAGGUGA